rnacentral:rRNA from 1 species
UACGUAGGGUGCAAGCGUUGUCCGGAAUUAUUGGGCGUAAAGAGCUCGUAGGCGGCUUGUCGCGUCGGCUGUGAAAACCUGGGGCUCAACCCCGGGCCUGCAGCCGAUACGGGCAAGCUAGAAUUCGGUAGGGGAGGACUGGAAUUCCUGGUGUAGCGGUGAAAUGACGCAGAUAUCAGGAGGAACACCGGUGGCGAAGGCGGGUCUCUGGGCCGAUAUUGACGCUGAGGAGCGAAAGCGUGGGGAGCGAACAGG